UACGUAGGGUGCGAGCGUUGUCCGGCAUUAUUGGGCGUAAAGGGCUCGUAGGCGGUUUGUCGCGUCGGGAGUGAAAACCUUGGGCUUAACUCAGGGCUUGCUUUCGAUACGGGCAGACUAGAGGUAUGCAGGGGAGAACGGAAUUCCUGGUGUAGCGGUGAAAUGCGCAGAUAUCAGGAGGAACACCGGUGGCGAAGGCGGUUCUCUGGGCAUGAUCUGACGCUGAGGAGCGAAAGUGUGGGGAGCGAACGGG
rnacentral:rRNA from 1 species